GAUGAACGCUGGUGGCGUGCCUAACACAUGCAAGUCGAGCGAUUCUCUUCGGAGAAGAGCGGCGGACGGGUGAGUAACGCGUGGGUAACCUGCCCUGUACACACGGAUAACAUACCGAAAGGUAUGCUAAUACGAGAUAACAUGCUUUUAUCGCAUGGUAGAAGUAUCAAAGCUUUUGCGGUACAGGAUGGACCCGCGUCUGAUUAGCUAGUUGGUGAGGUAACGGCUCACCAAGGCGACGAUCAGUAGCCGACCUGAGAGGGUGAUCGGCCACAUUGGAACUGAGACACGGUCCAAACUCCUACGGGAGGCAGCAGUAGGGAAUAUUGCACAAUGGGCGAAAGCCUGAUGCAGCAACGCCGCGUGAGCGAUGAAGGCCUUCGGGUCGUAAAGCUCUGUCCUCAAGGAAGAUAAUGACGGUACUUGAGGAGGAAGCCCCGGCUAACUACGUG
rnacentral:rRNA from 1 species